AGUGAACGCUGGCGGUAGGCCUAACACAUGCAAGUCGAACGGCAGCGCAGUCAUCGCUUGCUCUUACGGGUGGCGAGUGGCGGACGGGUGAGGAAUACAUCGGCAUCUACUUUUUCGUGGGGGGUAAAGUCGGGAAUCUUACGCUAAUACCGCAUACGACCUACGGGUGAAAUCAUGGGACCUUCGGCCCUUGCGCGGUUGAAUGAGCCGAUGUCGGAUUAGCUAGUUGGCGGGGUAAAGGCCCACCAAGGCGACGAUCCGUAGCUGGUCUGAGAGGAUGAUCAGCCACACUGGAACUGAGACACGGUCCAGACUCCUACGGGAGGCAGCAGUGGGGAAUAUUGGACAAUGGGCGAAAGCCUGAUCCAGCCAUACCGCGUGGGUGAUGAAGGCCUUCGGGUUGUAAAGCCCUUUUGGUGGGAAAGAAAAGCAGCAGGUUAAUACCCCGCUGUUCUGACGGUACCCAAAGAAUAAGCACCGGCUAACUUCGUG
rnacentral:rRNA from 1 species